CAGCUGUUGAGAACUGAUCUUGUGAAGAAGGAAAGUAACUUUUGUGUUGGGAGAGAGAAGCAUCAAAGAAUGGCUGCAAGGGGUGGGAAGGCGUCAGGAUGAAUAAAGCUGCUCUUGUAUUUUUGAGUUUUGGCACUGUGUGCUGCAGACAAAGAAUAUGAAGAAAGGAAGAGGAGGACCUGCACAGCUUCUUUGUAUCUUGAUAGAAUUAAGGUAUCUUAGCCUGAAAAUAAGGUAUACACUUUUCAGGCAGAAUACCAAACAUAGCAUAUAGAAUAGAUGCACACAAUAACAUCUGUCCCCUUUUUUAACCUUACUAAAAUAAUUUUAAUAGUAAAUAUUAAAAUAAAUUAACUUAAAUAGUACAAUUUUAUUGUUUUGGUUUUCUUGGCCAUGCCCACAUGUGGAAGUUCCCAGGCCAGGGAUCAAACCCACACCACAGCAGUUAUCCGAGUGACACCGGAUCCUUAAACCACUACACCACAAGGGAAGUCCUAAAAUUUACUUUUUUUUGCUUUUUAGGGCUGCACAUGCAAUAUAUGGAAGUUCCCAGGCUAGGGGUCGAAUCACAACUGCAGCUGCCAGUCUAUACCACAGCCAUAGCAAUGCCAGAUUCAAGCUGUGUCUGCGACAUACACCACAGCUCAUUGCAAUGCCAGGUCGUUAACCCACUUAACGAGAACAGGGAUGGAAAAAAAAUUUACUUAAUAGUAAAUUUUUAGUGUCUCCGCUGUGGCACAAUGGGAUUGGUGGCGUGUCUGCAGCACCAGGAUACAGGUUCCAUCCCCCGGGCCCCACAUACUGAGUUAAAGAAUCCAGUGUUGCUGUUGCUCCUUGUAGGUUGCAACCACAGCUUGGAUCUGAUUCCUGGCCCAGGGAACUCCAUAUGCUGCAGGGUGGCCCAAAAAGAGGAGGAAAAGUAAAUUUUUUUUCUUUUGUAUUUUUAGGGCCACACCUGAGGCACACGGAGGUUCCCAGGCUAGGUGUUGAAUUGGAGCUAUAGGCCCGGCCUACACCACAGCAACGCCAGAGUCAAGCUUCAUCUUCGACCUACGACACAGCUCAUGGGAAUGCCAGAUCCUUAACUCUGAGCAAAGCCAGGGAUCAAACCUGAGUACUUCUGGAUACUGGUUGGGUUAGUUACCGCUGAGCCACGACAGGAACUCCCAAAAGUAAAUUUUCAAAAGGGAAUAACCCUCAUAGUGUAUGAAAUAAUAUUUUGCAAAGUCUUUUAGAUGAAAGGUGAAUAAUUUAGAUGAAAGAUGAAUCCUAAAGCCAGCAAUGGGGAAUGAGAAAAGCAACUUCAUUUACAUCCUUGAACUCUUUAAAGGCUUAGAGUUGAAUUAGGGACAACUGGGUGAAAGUGGGGCUAAAAGAGGGUAGGUUGUAGAAAGACUGUAUAUGAAACAAAUAGACCUUUGAUCCCCUCCCUCCUCUGUCUACCCAAGAAACUGCCUCUCCCCAAAGCUGGUACAAAACUUGAUAGGGUAAACACAAGAUGUCUGAACUGGGAAGCAUGAGGCACAGCCAAGCCUUGGCUACUUUACUUAAAAAUAAUAUUAAGUUUACGCACUAAAGGUUGAACCUCUAAGCUUUCUUUCCUCACUUUAUUCCCAGAAAUCUGGCAGCGUGGCAUGUAUUCUUCAGAGGACGUAAAAGAUUCUAGGGAAUCUUACCUAUAUAGAAGAAAAGAUCUAAAGAUACCAGUAUCAGGGAUUUCAUAAUGUAACAACUCAGCCAGACCACAGGAGAAAGAAACCCACAUUCAAUAAGCCCCAUUCCCCCGCCAGAGGCCAUCCAACCAGGAUCCCACUCUUUAAAAAGAGGAGACAAGCAAGAAUUUGAAAAGGGCUUUAAUCUGAAAGAUAUCCAAACAAAGGAAUAUUCAAACAAAAAAGCUCUUGAACAUUAAAGAAUAUGAUAGAAAAAAAAAAAAGGGAAAUAAAAUAGAUGGGUUAUGGAAAAAAGUUUAGGAAAUCUUCCAGACAGAAGUAUAAAGAUGGAAAACAGAAGAGUAAAUAUAAGAAUGUUGGGGAAUUUCCAAUGUGGCUCAGUGGGUUAUGAACCUGACCAGUAUCCAUGAGAAUGCAGGUUUGAUCCUUGGCCUCACACAGUGGGUUAAGGAUCCAGCAUUGCUGUCAGCUGUGGUGUAGGUCACAGACACAGUUCGGCUCCUGAGCUGCUGUGGCUCCUGAGUUGUUUGGAAUAAACAAAACAACUGGAGAAAAUUUCCCACAAUGAAAAACUUGACUUUCCAAACUGAUACCAUACUUUUCCAAACAUGACUUUUCCAAGUGUAAAGCACCCAACACAGUGGCUGACCCACUCCAGACACAUCACUUGGUAAAGUUUCACAAGGUUACAUACAAAGAGGAGUUCCCAUCGUGGCUCAGUGGUUAACGAAUCCGACUAGGAACAAUGAGGUUGCGGGUUCGAUCCCUGGCCUUGCUCAGUGGGUUAAGGAUCCGGUGUUGCCAUGAGCUGUGGUGUAGUUUGCAGACGUGGCUCAGAUCCCGCGUUGCUGUGGCUCUGGCAUAGGCCGGCAGCUACAGCUCCAAUUCAACCCCUAGCCUGGGAACCUCCAUUAAAAAGAAAAAAAAAAAAAAUUACAUACAAAGAAAAGAUACUAAGAAGUCUGGGGAAGGAGUGUAAGGGAAUGGACACAUACAAAAAAAUUAAGAAUCAGAAUAGCAUUGCCCUUCUCAGCGUUGAGAAAAUAGAAAACAAUGGGCCAAUGCCUUCAAAACAAAUCUAAGUAACAGUUUUAACCAACCUGGAACUCUCUAUACCUGGUCAACCUAUGAAGACACAAGACACAUUCAAGAUCUCAAGAAAUAUCUCCUACACACUUUCUCAGGAAGGUAGUUAGUGGUAAUAAAUUAAGAGAGAAGCCAGGGGGCAUUCCAGCUGUGGCUCUGGUAACGAACCUGACUAGUAUCCAUAAGAAUGCAGGUUUGGAUCUCUGGCCUUGCUCAGUGGGUUAAGGAUCUAACACUGCCAUGAGCUGUGGUGUGGGUCAGAGAUGCGGCUUGGAUCCCAUGUUGCUGUGGCUGGUACAGGCCAGCAGCUACAGAUCCGAUCUGACCCCUAACCUGGGAACUUACAUAUGCCACAGGUAUGGCCCUAAAAAGACAGAAAAAAAAAGAAAAAAAAGAAGAAAAGAAAGAAAGAAAUCAGGGGAUUAACACACAAUAUAACUGAAAUGAUACACCAACCCAAGAGGGGUGUAGCAAACCUAGACAGUAAACCAAUCCAAACUGGAAUACAACAAAACAGGAGACAUCUAUAAGAAUGAAUACCUAACGAGUCUGAACAUAUUACAAGAAAGCUGGCACCAAUGAAGGAAAGUUUGGGGAGAAAUUAGUGACAAGUACAAUAAACAAGUGAAAAAACUCCCUCCAAGAGUUAUGAAGGAAAAAAAAAAAAAAAAAGUAGUUAACAGUAUAUACCCAUGUGGCCUAGCUGUGAAAAGAUUUAAGGGUAAAAACUACUGAGCUAACCCAAAUCAUAACUAUAACAGAGCCUUAAGAUGGUAAGAAUACGUGUGUCCAUGGUGAAAAAGAGCUAAAUCCUAAAUUUCUGCACCAGGAAGUCAACAGGUGAUACCUAAAAUUGAAAAACCAACACAUAGCAAAAUAAAGCAAGGUGUUUAAUGAUAUGGAGAUAAGUAAUGUGAGAAUCAACAGAGUUGAAAGUGGGUACCUCUGGGGAGUUGAAAACAGUGCUUUUUUAAAAAUUAUUUGAUUUUUUUUUUUACACUAAGUGCACUGUAACAAUGGAAAUGAGAAUUUUCUUAAAAAUACAGCUUUAGGUACUCUAGAAAGUAACAAAAUUAAAAUCAUAACAGCAAUAACUACAGUGAUAAACUAAAGAGCUACCCCAUAUCCUACAGAGGAAAAUAAUCACUAAUGGUCUCUUAACUGGUAUUACUCACAUUGGUAAGAAAAACAAAAACAAAUAAAACCCUUAGAAUAACCUCUUCCCCUAGGGAGGAAUUCUAUACAUAAAUCAAGUCACAUAUUUACACAUAGUAAAUCAAAUCUAAAUCUCACCCACAGUUGAAGCACCUGGUGUAUAACCUGGUUUGGAAGGCUGCUUCCUGGGUACACAAGCAGACCUGAGUAUACCCUUUAGGAGCACCAUUUUGACUUCUCUGCAAGUUAUGUCAUUGCUCCUAUUUCUUAAAUAGUAACAGUAAAGAGUUACCUUGCAUUUUUUUUUUUAAAUAACUAAGGGUUUAUAUACAUCAUUGACAUAUAUUAUGUUUUAAAGUACAUAAUAUACACUGUUGUAACUGAACAUAAGGCUAUUUGUCCUGACAUUAAAUAGCAAUGGGACUCCUGUGUUUUUGUUUGUUUGUUUUAGCCACACCUGCAGCAUAUGGAAGUUCCUAAGCCAGGGAUCGAACCUGUACCACAGCAGCCACCCAAGCCACUGCAGUGGCAAUGCUUGAUCCUUAACCUGCUGCUGCACAAGAGAACUCCACUCCUGUGUUUUGUGUAGCUUAUUUGGCAAGGGCUUGAAAACUGGAUCAUGGAGCUUGUUAGUGAUCUAUGAUAAUAAAAAGGUUGAAACUAAGGAAGAAGAGCUCACCUUUAAAUAACUAGCAAAAGUUUUAGUGCAUAAGCUAAAGGAAGUAAGAAAAGAAACAUGUACUAUAUCAUGAAUAAGUGAAGGUACUGAAAAGCUAAUUUCAAAUAGAUAUGUAUGGUUAUGUUUCAGCUAAUUCAAAAACACCUAUUGACCAUCAAGCUCUAUAUAUAACGUGAAGUUUCUUCCUCCCCCUUGAGAACAGUAAUUUCACUGACUGCCUUAAGUCUUCAAAAUUUAAGAUUUAAUCUCAGUAGAUUUAUUCCUGCUCAAAAACAAAAACCUAGCUCAUCCCAAAGAAUAUUGGUAAGAUCAGGUCUGGCUAGCCACCUCUGUCCCUCUGUCCCUUAGAUAGCCUCUACGGAUGAGAGAUGUUGAGAACAGACAUUACAGCAACACGGCUAUCCUUCCUGCACAGAAAUGGCACUCCUCUGGUCCCACAAACUUUUAUUCAUUCAAUAAGUUUACUGAGCACCCACUAUGUGCAAGGCAUUGUGCUAGGUGCUGCAGUUUUUGAAAUGACAAAAUUGUUUGUUUUUGUAGGAUCUGAGCUAGACCUUGAUGGUUUUUCCUGAUUUGAGAAAGACAGAAUGCCCCUACAUGGCUCAUUAAGGGAGCUAAGAACUUGAAUGAGGUCUGUUUCUGUCCUUCUUCCAGCCCAACAUAAAUUUUAGGCUUCCUCAAAUCAGUCAUUAAGUCAAAACAAAUAAGGCACAUUAAAAAAAAAA